GGAGGAAACCCAUUUUUUCUUACGUAUUUUUGUUGUUUUUGUUGAGAGUGCAGGAAUGAGAAAUUUAUUGCCAUGGGGAAGAACAAGUGAGUAAAUUUUGUGUUAAGGGAGGCUAUAAGGUGUGUAAAAGAUGUAUUCAGUUGAUGAAAAGGGGAAGGAAAGAAAAAUGGAGAAAAAAUUCCCCCAAGUGCACAAAACAGUGGCACUCAAUGAUAACCCCGCGCCGUGGAUCCUAGACUCCGCCUUAGGCUCUACGUCGCGCUAAAGGAAAAAUCGUGGAGGCCAAUUCCAGUUAACCUCCGCGAUGCGGAGGGGUAUUUCUCUUGGGUUUUUAUUUUAAAUAGUCGACCUUUGACCCGACCCAAUGCCUUUUAACCCAAAAUUUCUCUUUAAACACCCCUCAAAUCCCCAAUUCUCUCCAUUUCUUUUAACAUUAGAGGUACACCUCUCCAAAUUCUCUCAACUUUAAUGCGUGUCGAGCCGAGCAUCACUUUUCUCUUCUCUCCGUAAUUUUGAUUUAGGUACUAUGGACAACAAACAACAAAAGGGAAAGGACAUUGUUGGGCUAUCUAAGCCUUCCAAGAAAGAAACAGGCUAACUGGCCGGGUACCGAGAGCUCAUAGAGUUCCCUGUGGUCAGUCACAGAGAUAUGGAACUAGAUAGGUCAAGGAACCUGGAAAAAUAUGGUACUCAAAAGCGCAAUGAGACCAAGUACAACCCGAAAGAGUCCAUCAAUCGAGCGAUCUUAUGGAGGGAUUACCCUAGUAUGGUACAGAGGUUGGAGCAGCUACACAUGAACUUUUGUUUGAGCAUCCCACGGAGAGCAACUUGCACCUCAUUAGAGAAUUCUACGCUAAUUGGGACCCCAGGUAUCUUGAUUCUGAGAUAAAGAUCCAUGGACAGGUAGUAACUUUCUCGACCUAUGUUGUGAAUGGAAUCCUAGGCAUCCCCGAGGUAGAUGUAGGCCCUUUGAGUUAGCUGAACAUUACCUUGACAUACGUAGACAUCAGACAAUUGUAUGAAAAUAUGUCUACAGCUGGAUGGACUAGACAUAGAGAUAGUGGCCUUUACCUGACAUUCUCAUAUGCUCAAAUAAACAGGGAGGCAUGCAUGUGGAUGAUGAUUAUCUGCCAUUGCCUGAUUCUGGGCAAACAUAUGACAGAUGUUACUCGUGAAAGGGUCUGCCUAAUUAUGCUUUGAUGUGGGAUGAUAUUGAGAUUAAUGUAGGUGUUGUUAUAUUAGCUAUAAUAGAAAAGGUGUGCUACCAUCAGGGGCGCAGAUAUAGAUUCAGUGGAUUACUGACCAGGUUUUUUAGAGGUCAAGAGGUUGUGGAGGAGGCAAUAGAUAACAGCCCGGCAGUGAAUGUAAGAACCCGCAAAAUUCUCUCGUAGUCUGAGCCUUAGAGCGUGUUCAGUGAAGUGUUAAUCCGGCCCUAAAAGGUUGAAAAGUGUAUUCCCAAGUGAUAAGUAUUUUGAACCGUAUAGAAUUUCCCUAAUAUCGACUUUUUUUCAUGUAAAGAAUUGAAUAAGCUUUCCGUCGAUACCAAAUUCGCCCAAAUUCGAUGCUCGGGCGAAGAGUUAGAGCCAUUGUAGUGAGACGAUGUACCACCUGGUACUUUAGCGCGUCGCGAAGCCAGCCAAAAUGGCAAUCGUCAAAAUCCAGUGAGCCUCCGUGAUUAUGGCGCAUCGCGCCAAGGCUCAAUUUCAGAGUUGUCAAUUUCCAGUGCACCAACGCAAUUCCACCGCGUCGCGGUGCCUUUCCAGUUCGCAACUAAGGUGGCAACGCAAUUUUCACCGCGUCGCGCCACCAAUCAGUUUCCUAAUUGUCCAUUUUAUAGUGAGCUUGCGCGAUUCCACCGCUCGUGCCAGCAUGUGAAAUCGAGAUUUUCAGAUUCCGUUUUUAAAUUUCAAGGACCAAUUGGUAAUUUUCUAAAGCCCCAAACCAGUCUAUAUAAGGGAUCCAUACCCUAAAUAACGAAAAUACUUCUUUAUUUAUCAAUUUUUUCCCCAAAUUAAAAUAUUUUCUCUCUCAAGAAAUCAAGAACAAGACCUAGGGUUUCUAAUUCAAGACCCAAAUCAUCAAGAUUCCUACGUUAACUUUUCAAAGAAUCAAGAAACUAAGGUAUGCAGAUGUUGAUUCUUGGGUCCCUUUCAUCCAAGAAGCUCAAUAACCCUUUUCUAAAUUUUAAAGAUCUUAUGUUUAUGAGUUUUCAUGAUUCAUGUGAAUUGAAAUUGGAGUUCUUGCUAUUAUUUAGUUUUAAUUCAUGUUUGUUUACAAGGUUUUCAAGCUUUGACCCUAGUAUGUGAUAUUCAUGUGAUGUUCAUGAUAAACCCUCUUUAAGUUGCUUGUUAAGUGAUGUGUUCAUGUCAAUUAAGUGUAGAAAUUGUUGAAUAAGCAAAGCAUGCUCCCCAUAUAUUCGAUGAAAUGCGUAUGUGAAGAAAUUAGAACCAUUAUAGCAUGAUGACUAGAAAUCCCCAAUUAUGUGCAAGCCCAUACAUGCCAAGUGUUUGUUGAAAAGCCUUAGUGAAUGAAUUGUGGCAUGAUAGCAUGAAAUUCCACAAUUAUGUAUUAUUUAAUCCAUGCUAAGUGUUUGAUGCUAGACCUUGUUGAAUGGAGUACGAGUCAGUAACAUGUCUCCCUAUAUUAUCACAUGUUUAUAAUUCCUAAAUGCUUGAAAAGAUGCUUUAGUGAUUGUGAUGGUGAAUGAAUGUCCAUGGUCUUGAUUAUUCAAGAAUGGUUAUGUUUUACUUUUAUGUUAUCAAGUCCUGGGGGUAUUUAUACCCGACAAUUUAGCUGCAGUCUAGAGCUAGUGUCAGUUUUCAUGAUAAUCUUAGUCAAGCCACGAUUCUCAGAACUCAGUGAGUUAUAGAACUCUAUACUCUCAGAUAGAUACAGAACUCAAGUAACCUUAGUAAUCUCAGUAUCGCUAGUAUUCUAGCCUCAGUUCAGUACUCAGCUCAGACCUUGUAGUAUUCAAGUGUUCGGUUCAUACCUCAGUAGCAUUCAAAUAAUCUAUUCAGAGCUCAAUAUCAUUCAGUCAGAUAACAAGAUUCAGUAGUAUUCCAUCAGAUACAGAACCAAGUGAAUUCAGCUUAACCCAGUCAGAUUAUUCGAGAAACAUGAUCAGUGUUAGAUUCAGCUAAGUUUAAGUUCAGUUAUGAAUUAGUUUAGAGUCUUUCAGUUGGGAGUAGGAGCUAGCACCGAGCGAGUGCAGGGAUGACGGCCCCCCGUUUGAGAAGCAGAGUCGUUAGGAGCAAUCCCUGAACUCUAGAAUUGCGUAGCCAGCGCAGGAUGCAGGAGUCACCCGUUAGGAAAAGGCUUAACUAUUAUACUGUCUUAGGCUUGACUUUUUUAGAGGGUUACCCAUUAGAGAGGCUUGACCAGAGUUGAGGUCUUUACCCGUGGAACGGUAUUGACACCCUUCCAGCUGGGGUUAUAGGUUGGACCCCACCAGUUCAGAUUUGGGGCAUGUCGGUUAAGUGAGCACUCCCACAGUUAUAGUUUCAGUAUCAGUCUUCAGAGUAGAACUCAGAAAUCAGGACUGUCAGAUACAGUCAUCUAUCUCAGUAAGAAACUCAGAUAGUUCCAUUGAUUUAUAGAUCACCCACUAGAUAGGCAUGGUCUCACAUAAAGAUAUUCAGUAGCAGUAUUAUCAGAUCGAGAGAUCACCCGUUAGAUAGGCUUGAUCUCAGCCUCAGAUUUAGUUUAGUAAUCUCAUUAUCAAAUCCAGAAAUCACCCAUUAGAUAGGCUUGAACUCAGUCUUAGAUUUAGUUGAGUAUUCUCAUUAUCAGAUUUAGAGAUCCUCUGUGAGAUAGGUUCGAUAUCAGAUAAAAUCUCUUCUUGUCAUUGAUAGUAGAUUCAGGGAUCAUCUGUUAGAGAAGUUUGAUCUCCGAUUCAGUCAGCUGAGAGUAGCAAGUUCAGAGUGUAGUCAUUGAUGUGAGUAGAUUCAGUUAAUCAGCUCCAGUAAUAUCAGUUUCCGAGAUCACUCACUAGAGAAGACUGAUCUUAACUCCAGUACUCAGUUAUCAAUAUCAAUAUCAGGAGAUUCAGUUGUUCAGUAUUAGUAGUGAGUUCAGACGACACGGUAUUCGAGUUUCGGUAUUUCGAGUCAUGAAAUUUCAGUUAUGAUUUGUGCAUUCAUGCAUGUGUUCUCAUUUAGUACUCUCAUGAUUAUUCAGUUAAGUAAUUGUUCAUGCAUAAGCCCUUACAUUUAGCCUUACCUUCUCUUCAUACUCGGUACAUUCCCGUACUGACGCAUUUGUGCUAUGGAGUUUUAUUUGACACCAUAGGUUCAAAGGAACGAGAUCUAGAGUACCCUUAGAAGCUCAGUCCCAGUCAGCUGCAGUAGAUGUAGCUGUGAGUCCUCUUCAGUCGAGGAUGAUCCUUAUUUUAUUAUCACAUCAGAUUUAGUUUAUUUUCAGUAGACGAAUUUAGUUGGGGACAUGUCCCAUCAACUCCACAGUUCAGAUAGUUUAGAGGCUUUUCGGAUAGAUAUAUCAAUAUUCAAUUUUUAGUUUUGAGUAUUUUAGAUUUUUUGAACCGCCAGUUUUUGCCAGUUUUCCGUAUUUAUUACAGAUAUUAUGCAGUGCACAGGUACAGAUAUCAGUAGAGGGUUAGCUUAUGGUCCUUCGGGAUCAUGAGCACCGCGUGACAUUUCGGUUUUAAAAAAUUGGGUUGUUACACCACCAUACCAUUUGUACCCUAUCAUACAAGUGGUACCUACUACUCGCAUCCUAGGCAUCCCUUGGACCCCCAAAACUGUCCAACAUAUGACCACCAAGCCCCAGUCGUACCCAACCAUACGAUUAGUACCAUGAAAUCGUACACUAGGCAGAACCAAUAGGGGCUGACACUGUCCAACAUACAAGUUGGACUAUACCACUCGUACCCUAUCUUAUGUCUCAUGGUGAGCCACUCGUACUCAGAUCCAAUUUAAGUUACUAAGUUUCUGAUUAAGUGAAGGAAAAUAUAAAACCAAUGGUCCAACCAUACGACUCGUACCCACCUAGUCAUACCUAUUCCAGAAACUCAACCACCCAAUACUGGACAAGAUACGACUAGGUCACCUUAACCGUACACUAUCAUACAACUGGUACUCUAAAUCAUAUGAUGUCCAGAAUCCAAAAAUAAAGAACUAUCUCUAAGGGUCAAAACCCAGAGUGUUUCAUGAUUUUUAUUCUAUCUAGGGAUAUUAUUCGGCUAAGAUAUAGAGAGAUUUUGGCAGUGAAGGUUCAAUAAUGACAUCGUCUCAUUGAGAAGGCUAUCUAGGAGACCAAAAAGGACAUGCAGGCCUAGUAUUUUUGCUUAUUCGUGCCUUCAGGUACUUCUUGACUCACAAUUUCUAAGGAUGGAAGUCUUUUUAGCAGUGGAUGUUGUAAUGACCGUCUAGGUCAUUUUCUUGAUUUUUAUGCAUUUUCACCAUUUUGAGUUUUCUACAGUUUUCCUAGGUUAUUUAUGAACUAUUGGGACUGGUGGUUUGGUUCUCAAGGGGUUUGUUUGAUUUUUAAGCCAAUUUAUAUGUUUUGGAGCUUUAGAAAUUGAUAACUUUGACUUUGAUCAAACUUCAGCAAAUAGCCUCAGAUGAAAAUCUUUGAAAUUUUGUUAGCUCCAAAGCAUGGAUUCAUAACUAGAGGGACCUUUAGUUUCGGUUUCAAGGCUUUCAAACUCAUUUUGGGUUAUUGGUUUGCUUUUAGUUAAAAAUGGAAGAUUAGUUGUGGGGCCUACUUUUCAUCAAAAUGAUCUUUGUUGAGAAUUUCAUAAAUUUUUUUGAGUCUGAAAUAUAAUAUUUGAUAGGGUGGCAGAUUUUAUUUGCAUUCACGGGAUUUUAAACUAUUCUCGAGGAUUCAUUCAGAGUUAUUUUGACCUUAUGUUUUUGCUGAUAUUGCAGCAAAUGGUGUAGGGCAAAAUUGUCCUAUGCGUGUGCAGCCAUCCCUUGCGUGCAUGUAGAAGGCUAGCUGAUCCGAUCCAAAAAUCCUUCUCUGAGCGUGUGAAGGUUUGGGUUGAAAGGCCUCUGUGUGCAUGAUACGGGUCUCGCAUGCACAUAGAAGGGACCCUGGUAUUAUAAAAGCCUCAUCCUUACAAUUUUGAACUAUUUUUCUAAAUGUUUUCCUCCAUUAUUGAACCUUGAGCUUGGGAAAUUGUUUUGGAAUCAUCAAUUGAAGAUUAGGGGCAUUAGUAGCUUGUUCCUUGAUCAUUCCCAUCGAAAUUGUGUAAGUUUGUGACCUAAAUUCCAUUAAUUUCUUAGUUAUUUUCUUGAGUUUCCUUUAACUUGUGGGACUGUUUUGGAGCUCUAUUUAAGGCCUGAUCAUGCCCAAUUUUUUAGCAUAUGAUCCUUGUCCCGAGAGGGACACAACUGUCGGUUUGAUUUCUAGAUUUCGUAAGCAGACCCAUGGGUAAUUUUUAACCCAAUUUUUGGUUCGGAGUGUUAAUUCGCAAUAUGAGCAUCAUUAUUCUUAUUUUGACAUGUAGAUUAUUUUUUUGCUAGCGUAGCAGUAGUUGAAGGCUUCUCAAAAAGGAAAAUAUCCAAUUUAAUGAGUUGUGAGUUGUGAGUGCACUCUUUGGCAUAAGAAGAAAAAUAGCACCAAAAAAUCAAAAGAAACCACGGAACGAUCAACAUUACAAUGCAUAGAAAAAGGAGCAAAAAAGGAUCAGGGGAUGUGUCUUGUGCCACUGUUGCAAAGAAAGCAGUGGUGAGAAUUAGUGAGGAUUUGGAGUGUUGUUAGGACCCUUGCGCCACUCCUCCAAAGCAAGGAGUGGCGCAAGUUUGAGCACCAUCUUGGAAUUUUACUUGUUCCUUGAGCCACAGCUCCAUUUUUGGGCAAUAGUGAGAGUCGGUACUUCUAACUCAGAUUGAGAAUGAUUUUGACAAUUUAAGCGUUCCCAAACUCUAUAUAAAACCCUCUCUCAUGUUUUUUUAUCAAAUACAUCUGAUUUUGGGAAGCCAAAAGUUAAGCAAAGCUCAAGAAUAAGGUCUAGUUUUAUUUUCGAUUUCUGCCUUUCGUCAACUCAUGAAAUCUCUUCUUCCAAAGAGAUUCAUGUGCAGUCAAACCUCUUAAUUUCUAGGGUUGUGGUUGAACAUGAAAGUUGUGGCUUGAAUAUCAUAUGAUUUAUUUUGAUUCUCGUAUUUUGAGUAAUUUAUAUCUUCUUACUUUCAAUUAUCCGUUUGAUUGAUCACCUUGCGGACAUUAUCUAGGGCUUGUUUGUUGGACUUGAAAAAGAAAAUAGCAAGUGUAAAAAGAGGAAAUAAAGUUAGUUUGUGAACCUUAUAGGGAAAGGGAAUCAAUGUACCACUGAAGAUAGAAGUAUACCUUCUGACCUAGCUUAGUUGAUACGCCCGAUAUUUUUAUGCACUUCACUAUUAGCCGAUGACCAUAAAAAUAUAAGUGUUAGGAUAGUUGAGUAGGCUUAGAGUUAUUAGAAAAACACUCAAUUUAGCUAAAACCUGCGAAUAGUAACUCACGAAAUCAAAUUAAGAAUAUGAUUGAAUGGCUCAACUAGAUUGUCAAAAUACCACAAAGAUAGAUUCUGCCAAUCUAAAUUACAACACAACUAAUCAAUGACUUAUUUACAAUUAUUUUUAUUUCCAUUCAAAACACACAAAUCACUCUCUAUUAUUGAUCGUCUACUUAAUAGCUCAUAUAAGAAUUCAAACUACACUUCAAUUCGUCAAAUCCCUGUUAAUAUGAUCAUGUACGACCACGUACACUUACACGAGUAAAAAGACGGAACAUUUAGAAAACCAAAAUUCUAGGGUAAAAAUUGAAAUUUAAAAUAAUUCUAACAUUUAAAAGAGAGAUGUAAAACAAGAUAUAAGUUGUUUUCCAAAUUUGAGAUACUGACUUCAAAUUAAAUUUGAAAUGUUCAUGGUCAAACACUGAUUUUCAAAAAAGUAAAAAAAAAAAAUUAAAAAAGUGAAUAAUUUCUCUGAUCUUGAUGGCUAGAGAGACCACAAUUACACUGAAAUUUUCACCUGAAGGAGGCACACAUCUGGAAAAAAAUAAUCACAUAACUGAUUAAUAGAAAACAAGCAUAAUCCACAGACGACCCAAAGAUGGCUCUACUACCCCUUCGUUGAGGAUUGACAAAAGAACAGGACAUUCGGUUGUAAACCAGAUGAGACUUUCUUGCCACACCAGGCAAAGUGCAUUUGACUAUUGAUUGCAAGUCGGAGUAUGCAUGUGAUAUAAAGCUGGACACUGGCGUCGAAAAGUUUCAUGUGAACUAAGUCAUCUAAUGAAAAUAGACUUAAGUCAUCAACAACCACUUUAAGUUGUUCCGAAAAUUCACUUAAACCCCUCAACUCAAGACUUGUACCUAUUGAAUACCUUUACUGUUGGUCUUGUACCCAUUGAAUACUUUUACUACUUGAAUUUAAACACAUUUUUAACAAUCAACUAUAAAUGUAAAGUGUGUGUGAAUUAAAUGAUGUGGCAAUACAACAAAUUAAAUGAUGCCAUUUGGCAUGUGAAUCCAAAAAAAUAUUUAAAAAAAUAAUAAUGGUGACAAUUUACAAUUUUUGAUUGAAAAGGAAAAAGAAAAGCAACUACCAUAUCCCCCCUUAUCAUCUUCUUCUCCAAUUCUGUAAAAAAAAAUUCCAAAAUUGUUUUAGCAAUCCAAUUCAUAUUUAUUGCUAUUUUUUUUUCUUCUUGUGUUGUGGGUUCUUAGAAUUUGAAUUUUUUAACAAUAUCAAUAAAGUAAUCUCAAAUUCAUAUCAAGUUAGCCGGAAAAAAUGGAAUUUUCCAAUUCAAGAAUCAAAUUUGUUGUCGCUGUUUUUUUUUUUUCUUUUUCUGUUACAUAAAAUCGUGAUUACAUAUAUGGCUAAGAGAUUAUUUGAUCUAUAGUCAAUCUUUAUCGAUUAAAGAAAAGAAUUGACGAAUUUAAAAAACUUACAAGAUUGUUAGGAAUUUAAAAAGAAAAAAUAAUAUAGAUGAAGGAUUGAUGAAGAAGAUGGCUAGGGUAUAGAUGAAGGAUUGAUGAAGAAGAUGGCUAGGGUAUAGGGGAGGGAAGGAGGGGGGUUGCUUUUCCUUUUAUUUUUUAAUUAAAAUUUGAUAUUAUUAGAAAUUAUUAAUGAAAUAAAUUGAAGUGUGAUUUUUUUUAACAAAAAAAAAAUACCAUUUGGGACUAUUCACGCUCCAAAGGAGAGUGAAUAACACUUUCCUCCCCAUAUCAGCACUUUGUGCCUGAUAGGUAUAGAAUUGAAUGGGUUAGAGGCUUGACAAGUACAAACCUUAGUUGAGGGUCUAAGUGAAUUUUCAAAACAACUUAAAGUGAUUUUUGAUACUUAAGCCAUGAAAAUACAUAUGCUGCAACAUUUGUGCGAUGUAGCAGGCACGUAAAAAAGAAAAAAGUGUCAUUUUUCCAUAUGAUAUCAGUUCUCAGGAACAAUUUCACUAGGCAGAAAUAUCCAAGUCGACCUUUAGCAUUCUUCUACGAAAAGCUCUUCAUAAAGUCAAACAGCCACUUAUGCUCAUUCCUCGUCUUCUCAAUCCUGUCACUCGACCAACAGUCUCAUUUGCUCACACGCAGAUUUAUUAACCCUUUCAAAUUCCAUCAUUUACCAAACUAGAGUUUGGCAAAUUCAGGUUUUCUCUUCUGACUAUGUGCUGAAAUUGCUUCUUUCAAAUCAUCUGAUAACAGGGCACCAGAAUUCCAUGUGGCAACAUAAUCCAGGCCUUGUUCCACUGUCAAAUCCCUACUUUUCAGCAACACGGCUUUGUUCCAAUAACAGCAAGCGGAGACUUUGUAGCUAUUUCUGCAUUUUAAUGGAAAAAUAUACACAACUUAUUAGCCAGGUCAAAGUGAAAAAAAAAAAAUAGCAAUAUUCAAAAAUGCAAGAACUAAGCUUGCUAAAAAGAUGAACUUAUUCACUAAUUCCAGAGAGAACUGAGGAAGAACAAGAAACAAGCUAGUAUAAGACCGGGUGAAUUACCGAAAACCUCGUGCUAGAAACAGUAAGUGGAGGAAGAAUCUAUGAGUGAGAUCUAGACGGUACAUACAUUUUACUCAGCAAGGAACAAAAUCAGGUUUGAAAAUAUAUACAUUAAUGACACCAGCUCAAAUUUCAGUCAAUAACCAUGGAAGAUAAUGGUCCUAAACUUUCCAUUCCAGGGAAAGAAGGAAGUGGCUUUCCAGCCUUCAGUGAUUUUUAAUCAAGACCACCUACAUUACAUUUGAGAAAGGCAUGAAAUAACAGACACAAGACUACCAUAAUGGAUCAAUGUUGGUACUGCACGUACAGUAGGAAGAUGGGUAGGAUAGAAGACCGGAACAGCCACCUCUAGUUUGUUCGUCUUCCAACAUAUUUAAUCUUCAAGUCCCAUAACAAAAUUUCUUGCAUAAAGAGGACAUCAUGAAUCACAUAUUUGCCUCCGUGUUUUACUGUUUUCAUCUCACAAAGACCCUUGUGGAUUCAAAGACUGUUUCAAACUUCUUUCUUGGGCAAAGAUAAUAGCAUAAUAAAAGAAAGAUCAUUGGGAAAUCAAUGUUUUUGUGUUACACUGGCUAAAUAAUCUCAGACACGUGUUGGAUUGAGCCAUCCCAACAUCCUUUUUUUAAUAAGGUAACAAAUACCCACAUCCUUUCCUUUUUCUAUGUUCGACUCAAGGACACUCCGCUCAACAUGUAUUAACUUUCAUCUCUCAAGCAUGACAUAAAAUGAAGAAAGUGAAUCACAGGUUUUACUCAAUUCCCAAGUGACAGAUACAGGGCCAAGUUUUACUCGUACAACACUAACUAUGCAUCAAUACCGACUAUGCCAGAGUUAGCUAUAUGAAUCAUUACAGACCAUGUUGCUCCUUUCAUUUAAGUUUAUCCCAGUCCAAUAUUAUAUAAGAGUUGCCAGAGUUAGCUAUAUGAAUCAUUACAGACCAUGUUGCUCCUUUCAUUUAAGCUUAUCCCAGUCCAAUAUUAUAUAAGAGUUGUCAAGUUGUACUCAUAAACUUGUAAAAGGUUCUCGUUGAAGGAAGGGAAGAUGACGCUAAGCCAAAGUAGCUAAAAUUGCUCUAAAGUGAGCCUAGCCAUGGAUGACAAUUAUUUAGUCUGUUCCAAUUCAUGUGAACAUAUUUGAUUGGAUACGGUCUUCAACAAACAGAAGACUUUCAAAACUACUGGUCUUAAACAUGUCAUAAGAUUUGUGUGGCGAUAAGGCUAUUGAAACUUGUGAUCUUAAAACAUGUUAUAACAUUUGUGUGACCGUACAAGUAUGCCAUUACGGCUUUCCAAGUUUAGGAAGGAUCAUUUAUUAAAUGGACUAAAAAAGGAAAUAUGGUCUGUAUAUAUUGGAAGGAGGAAGUACAUAGUUUCAUAUGACCUAAACAAUCAGUGAUCUAGGAUCGUCAUAUACACCUAUUCGAUCUUCUAUGAAUUCCAAAGUUCUAUUCCCCCUCUCGGUCAAUCUUCUCUAAAGAGCUCGACCCACUUGAAGUUGACAUAAAACUUCAUCUACUGAAGCAAAUAUAGAAGAAUUGUGGGGUGUUCAAGUGUGAAAUAUUUUGUUCAGAAGAUUACUGCAUUACUGGGAACUUCAAAGAGUUACUGAUUUCUUCAAAUGCCAGGAGUCCUUCCAGGGGUUCAAGGAGGCUGAAGACACACUCGCACUAUACAGAAAUGGUAAUGGAGAGUGUACUGUUAAAUCACAGCUUACUUCUCCCUCUCCAAUACUGACUAGGAAGUAGGAAACUGACCAUGAAGGUCAGUAAAUUUGGAAAGCCAAGGCCCUUUUCAAAAUGGUUUAUUUCACAUGGUUAGUGGCAAGACAAGCACGCUAACACAAGAAAAUCUUAAAAGAAGGUGGUUUCAACUAUGCUCUUUGUGUGGUUCAGCUGCAUAAUCUAAUAACCAUUUAUUCCUUCACUGUCCAAUUACUGCUCAACUGUGGCAGCUGCUCAUAAGUAUUGUGGGCUUUAAUUGGGUGAUGCCAGCAACUACUACUGAGUUGCUACAUCCAUGGAACUACAGGGGGGCAAUAGUGAAGCAGAAGGGGUGGUGGAAAAUGAUGUCAGCAUGCCAUAUAUAGUGGUCAGUCUGGAAAGAGAGGACAGCAAGAAUUUUGUAAGUCAAGCAGACCUCGACACAGAAACUUAAGAUUGCUUACCUUAGAUUUGGUAGAUUGAAUUUGUAGGUGAGUCAAGAUCACGCGUUACGAUUAACCUAUUUCUAGGUCCGAUUUACCAGCAGUUUGAUUACUAGGUAAUAAUGGAAAUCAACAAAGUACAAAGCAUGCAGUUCGAUUCACCACUUUUUGCUUACCUUGCCCUUCUUCCAGUUCUGCCAAUCUUCCUUAAGUUGCUCUUUAUUGCCCUGCAUCUCGAUUCAGCAUGUCUGGUUCUUCUUUGAACCCUUCCUCCCUUGUCUACCGACGGCGCCAUGGAGAAGAGGAACAAAGAAUCUGGCCUUUCCGAGCCAUCCGCCAACGAAAUCAUCCCCGAUCUCUAUUCCUUUAACAAAGAUUUUAGAGACCUAGCUUGUAAAGAACCAAAAGGAAAAACAGAUCAGUCUGCGAAUUUGGCUCCCUUAUGAAAGAAAUCAAUCUAGCCGUUGUCCGGAGAGUCUGCGGAUGGCCUCCUGAGAAAUUUCCAGUGGAGGCGCACAUCAUUCUGUCGAGGUCCGACAGCACUUCCGUCUACAAUCUACCCGUUUAGCGUGGUACAUGGGGAUCCUAUAGACGAAGUAAUCAUAUCGUUCUGCAACACCUCUCAGGUGUGCCUAGGCCAGCUCGGCUAGGGAUAUGCAGAACUGUUGCUUGCCCCCGAGAGCUAGCCACUUCAGUAUGCGAGGAGUUCUCCCUGACUCAUUUACUCCUUUAUUGCCCUCGUUUAGCUCAAGGAGGGGUAGUACAGUUAUCUGGUCGCGGAAGAAGGUCCCUCUUGGGCAACUUGGAUGACCCCAAAGACUAUAGUUGGGUCAAUUGUUUCGUUGUCAUGGCCGCGAAGGAUCCUUUCAAAGUUACUUCCCUCGCGUCUUGGAAUUAAUGUCAUAAGAAAAUCGAGCUAGAGCCUUUCUUUUAUCCUUCAUCCUCCUUAUCAUUAAUCGCAGAUAACUUAAUGUUUAAGAACUUUGUGCAGCAUCUCCAUGAUGUGAUCCUAUGGGAAUGCCCUUUCUCCAUCAGGCCGGAGAAUUUUGCUUGUGGGUCAAGAAGAUUUUGAAGCCUCCCCGACCACCAGCCAAUCCUGGUCACAUAUAUCCACUUAGUUUGAUGGGAAGGCCUGAUAUCUGAUUCGGUAAUUCUAGCAUCCUAGAUCGUCGCUAGCCAUCUAAUGGGUCGAAAACCUUGUGGGAGACUUCGUGCACUUGUUGAUGUUGCGUCGAGACCAUGCUCCUGGGGUCGAGCCUUAAUCUUCUGGAGUGAAAAAGAGCAAACGAUCAGAUUCGCUAGCAAGAUGAUCUGCUCCCAAGGCCAUUCCCUUACACAAAGGCCCCAAGGAGUCUAGGGGUGAGCCACUGGUCCAGCUCUCGCUCACCUUGUUCCAAUGUUGUAAAUUUGUUCCAAGAACUGGAAAAUGCUGAGAAAGCAGAGAAUGAGUCUCGGAUCCCCGCGGUGCUCAUACAGGUGAGAGCCUCGCAGAAUGUAGACCAUUGCCCCCCAUCCUCCUUACGAGUCCCAGUCAACCGCCUGAACCCUCCUAGCUUGGCGCCUUCUCGACAUCAUCCCCUUAUGGGGUUUGUAGGUCCUCACGCCACAUCCGAUACUUCUUGUCUCCCAAAGCAGGGUCUGGCCCAAUAUUAGACAACAAUACUGCAAAUUCUCGGCGAAGUCGGCUUCACGUCGAGGUUGGUGGGAGUAGUUAAUUACUUGAAUGUCGUCGCCACAUCCAAAGAUCACCGGAGUAUGGACGAGGCAUUCACUGAGUGUUUCAUCAACGAGUGUGCUCAUGUCGCCGCUAGGGUUAAUGGCUCCUGUUGUAAAUGACUUACAGCUUUUCAGGUCUGAAUUUGAAUAACACUUCAGAUAAUUAAGUGUAUUUACUUUUUAUUAAAAUUUUAGUUUUUAAUAAAUCUUAAUUAUUUAGAUUUAGAAUGAGAGAUAUUUUGGUGUUGGAUAA